rnacentral:rRNA from 1 species
UACGUAGGGUGCAAGCGUUAAUCGGAAUUACGGGGCGUAAAGCGUGCGCAGGCGGUUAUGUAAGACAGUUGUGAAAUCCCCGGGCUCAACCUGGGAACUGCAUCUGUGACUGCAUAGCUAGAGUACGGUAGAGGGGGAUGGAAUUCCGCGUGUAGCAGUGAAAUGCGUAGAUAUGCGGAGGAACACCGAUGGCGAAGGCAAUCCCCUGGACCUGUACUGACGCUCAUGCACGAAAGCGUGGGGAGCAAACAGG